rnacentral:tRNA from 1 species
GCAGUUUUAGAAAUAUAAAAUUGUCAAUUUUAAGUUGUAAUCACCUUAUAAAAUACC